rnacentral:pre_miRNA from 1 species
UCUAAGAUGAACAAAUUUCCGAUAGAAUUUUUAAUUUUUCGUCUUAUUUAAAUUUUUUUAAGAUUAAUAUUUUUAUUGUUAUUACAUGAUAAAAUAUAACUAGUAUUUUACGUAUGAUUUUUUUUCAACCUUUUCAUAAAAUUUUCAAAUAAAACGGAUGGUGAAACACUCGACCUAGAAAACUCAGAAAUGCUUUUUUU